rnacentral:rRNA from 1 species
GCCUAUACAGGUGUUGCAUGGCUGUCGUCAGCUCGUGUCGUGAGAUGUUCGGUUAAGUCCGCUAACGAGCGCAACCCUCGUCGUAUGUUAUAUGUGUCAUACGAGACUGCCGGUAAAAAAGCCGGAGGAAGGUGAGGAUGAUGUCAAGUCAGCAUGACCUUUAUAUCCAGGGCUACACACACGCUACAAUGGUCUGUACAAUGGGUAGCCAAGCCGCGAGGCGGAGCCAAUCCUGAAAGCAGGCCUCAGUUCAGAUUGCAGUCUGCAACUCGACUGCAUGAAGCCGGAGUUGCUAGUAACCGCAGGUCAGCAAUACUGCGGUGAAUACGUUCCCGGGUCUU